AAUUAGCUGGGCAAGGUGGCGCAUGCCUAUAAUCCCAGCUACUCAGGAGGCUGAGGCAGGAGGAUCACGUGAGCCCAAGGAGUUCGAGUCUGCAGUGAGUUAUGUUUGUACAACUGCACUCCAGCCUGGACAACAGCAUGAGACCUUAUGUCUGAAAAA